AUUGAACGCUGGCGGCAGGCUUAACACAUGCAAGUCGAGCGGAGAUGAGGUGCUUGCACCUUAUCUUAGCGGCGGACGGGUGAGUAAUGCUUAGGAAUCUGCCUAUUAGUGGGGGACAACAUUCCGAAAGGGAUGCUAAUACCGCAUACGUCCUACGGGAGAAAGCAGGGGAUCUUCGGACCUUGCGCUAAUAGAUGAGCCGAAGUCGGAUUAGCUAGUUGGUGGGGUAAAGGCCUACCAAGGCGACGAUCUGUAGCGGGUCUGAGAGGAUGAUCCGCCACACUGGGACUGAGACACGGCCCAGACUCCUACGGGAGGCAGCAGUGGGGAAUAUUGGACAAUGGGGGGAACCCUGAUCCAGCCAUGCCGCGUGUGAAGAAGGCCUUAUGGUUGUAAAGCACUUUAAGCGAGGAGGAGGCUACUGAGACUAAUACUCUUGGAUAGUGGACGUUACUCGCAGAAUAAGCACCGGCUAACUCUGUGCCAGCAGCCGCGGUAACAC
rnacentral:rRNA from 1 species